GUUGUGUUUGGCACGUGCUGUUAGGUUGCAUCCCUCCUCGAGCAGUGACGUCCUGACCCGCCUGCCAUCUCAGUCGCAGGGCAAGCGCAAUAUAGUCUUGCUCCAAGUCGGUUUCCUGUGUUGCAUGCAUUAUCAAGUUUUAUCGAUCGCCUUUCGCCCCUCGUAUUUCGUGCACGGGGCGAAUCGAAAGGCCACCCUCGCGUCCCACGCCUCCUUCGCUUCGUCGUGCGAUGUCGUGGUCCGCGAGCGGCAUCUCAGAUUCUCGGAUGUGGUAGACGCAGUGGUCAUGGGGCCUUCAUCGUCUCCUAUUUGCCCCAUACGAAGCUCCUUGCAAACGACGGCCGCGCUCGCCAUGAAUCCGUCUGCGCCCUCGCAGGCAAGCCGGGCUCAUGUGACGCCGGCGUCGAUGAGGAAUUCUACCUGGUUGAUCCUGCUAGUAGUCAUAUGCUUGUCUCAAAGAUUAAGCCAUGCAUGUGUAAGUAUGAACAAAUUCAGACUGUGAAACUGCGAAUGGUCUGCCAUAGUAGUGUCUUUGUCAAGAUGUUGCUUUUAGGACUCCGUCGGCACCUUAUGAGAAAUCAAAGUUUUUGGGCUCCGGGGGGAGUGUUGUCGCAAGGCUGAAACUUAAAGGAAUUGACGGAAGGGCACCAGCAUGAGUGGAGCCUACGGCUUAAUUUGACACAACACGGGGAAACAUACCAGGUCCAGACAUAGUAAGGAUUGACAGACUAAGAGCUCUUUCUUGAUUCUAUGGGCGGUGGUGCAUGGCCGUUCUUAGUUGGUGAAGCGAUUUGUCUGGUUAAUUUCGUUAACGAACGAGACCUCAGCCUGCUAACUAGCUAUGCGGAGGUAUCCCUUCGCGGCCAGCUUCUUAGAGGGACUACGACCUUUUAGGCCGCAGAAGUUUGAGGCAAUAACAGGUCUGUGAUGCCCUUAGAUAUUCUGGGCCGCACGCGCGCUACACUAAUGUAUUCGACGAGUUUAUAGCCUUGGCCGACAGGCCCGGGUAAUCUUUGAAAUUUCAUCGUGAUGGGGAUAGAUCAUUGCAAUUGUUGGUCUUCAACGAGGAAUUCCUAGUAAGCGCGAGUCAUCAGCUCGCGUUUACUACGUCCUGCCCUUUGUACACACCGCCAGUCGCUCCUACCGAUUGAAUGAUUCGGUGAAAUUUUUGGAUCGCAACGACGUGGGCAGUUCGCUGCCCGCGACGUCGCGAGAAGUCCAUUGAACCUUAUCAUUUAGAGGAAGGACAAGUCGUAACAAGGUUUCCAUAGGUGAACCUGCGGAAG
rnacentral:rRNA from 1 species